CUAGAGUAGCGCGUCCAUGGUCGCCGGAACCUGCCGGCGUCAAAAGGGAAUCCCGUGAGAAUCGGGAGCGGACCCGCCGCCGUAAGGCCCGCAGACCAGCUUCCUUCAUGUGCCACUGGCAACGGGAAGGCCGGAAGCCGGGGGCCGAGCCGGAAUACCUGCCGUGGACCGUGGCCGUUGG
rnacentral:ncRNA from 21 species